rnacentral:rRNA from 1 species
AACGCGAAGAACCUUACCAAGGCUUGACAUACACGAGAACAUCCCAGAAAUGGGGGACUCUUUGGACACUCGUGAACAGGUGGUGCAUGGUUGUCGUCAGCUCGUGUCGUGAGAUGUUGGGUUAAGUCCCGCAACGAGCGCAACCCUCGUUCUAUGUUGCCAGCACGUAAUGGUGGGAACUCAUGGGAUACUGCCGGGGUCAACUCGGAGGAAGGUGGGGAUGACGUCAAAUCAUCAUGCCCCUUAUGUCUUGGGCUUCACGCAUGCUACAAUGGCCGGUACAAAGGGCUGCAAUACCGUGAGGUGGAGCGAAUCCCAAAAAGCCGGUCCCAGUUCGGAUUGAGGUCUGCAACUCGACCUCAUGAAGUCGGAGUCGCUAGUAAUCGCAGAUCAGCAACGCUGCGGUGAAUACGUUCCCGGGUCUUGUACACACCG